AUACGGAGGGUGCAAGCGUUAUUCGGAAUCACUGGGCGUAAAGGACGCGUAGGCGGGUUGGCAAGUCAGAUGUGAAAUCCUACAGCUUAACUGUAGAACUGCAUUUGAAACUGCUAACCUAGAGUAUGGGAGGGGGAGAUGGAAUUAGUGGUGUAGGGGUAAAAUCCGUAGAUAUCACUAGGAGUACCGAAAGCGAAGGCGAUCUCCUGGAACAUAACUGACGCUAAGGCGUGAAAGCGUGGGGAGCAAACAGGAUUAGAAACCCCAGUAGUCC
rnacentral:rRNA from 1 species